rnacentral:rRNA from 1 species
UACGAAGGGGGCUAGCGUUGUUCGGAAUCACUGGGCGUAAAGCGCACGCAGGCGGAUCGUUAAGUCAGGGGUGAAAUGCCGAGGCUCAACCUCGGAACUGCCUUUGAUACUGGCGAUCUUAGAGUCCGGGAGAGAUGAGUGGAACUCCGAGUGUAGAGGUGAAAUUCGUAGAUAUUCGGAAGAACACCAGUGGCGAAGGCGGCUCACUGGCCCGGUACUGACGCUCAGGUGCGAAAGCGUGGGGAGCAAACAGG